rnacentral:rRNA from 1 species
AGCAGCCGCGGUAAUUCCAGCUCCAAUAGCGUAUAUUAAAGUUGUUGCAGUUAAAAAGCUCGUAGUUGAAUUUCGGGGUCAGUGGGUCGGUCGUGCCACUGGUAUGUACUGGCCCUACUGAUUCCUCCUUCUUGAAGAACUGUAAUGCCAUUAAUUUGGUGUUGCAGGGAAACAGGACCGUUACUUUGAAAAAAUUAGAGUGUUUAAAGCAGGCAAUCGCUUGAAUACAUUAGCAUGGAAUAAUGAAAUAGGACGCUCGAUCCUAUUUUGUUGGUUUCUAGGAUUGACGUAAUGAUUAAUAGGGAUAGUUGGGGGCAUUAGUAUUCAAUUGUCAGAGGUGAAAUUCUUGGAUUUAUUGAAGACUAACUACUGCGAAAGCAUUUGCCAAGGAUGUUUUCAUUAAUCAAGAACGAAAGUUAGGGGAUCGAAGACGAUCAGAUACCGUCGUAGUCUUAACCAUAAACUAUGCCGACUAGGGAUCGGAUGAUGUUAAUUUUUUAAUGUACUCAUUCGGCGCCUU